rnacentral:lncRNA from 1 species
CGGGGAGGGGUGGGGGAAGAGUAAAGAGAGCGCUGUCUUGAAGAAACUACAAGUGUGGAGAGUCUGCACACGUUGGAGGGAGAUGAAGGCGGUGCUGAUUCAGGAGACAGAGCUUUAGCCAGGAAAGCAAGCUGGCAGCCACUUGGGAACCACCAUCUCUGACACCUCCUGAGUGCCAAAGCCACAGAACACAACCAGGAAUCAAAGCCGAAGGACCCCGCGCCCGUGAUGACGGAACUCGUAACAACCACAGGACCUCAGACAACAGCCCUCCACCUGGCAAGGACCGGCCUGACGACUCAGGCCCCACCUCCGCUUCCAGUUUCCCUGCCGGAAGAGCCCCUUGCCCAUGAGCCGGGAACGGGAAGGCGCUUCGUGGUGGAGCGGACCCCAUCAGUGCUGCCCAUGUCCCCUCCACCCUUCUUCCACUCUGUGCCCACCCGCUCGCCUUCCAGGCGCUCCGACUCACAGAGUGCCGUGUCGGGAGUCUGCACUGCCCUCCCACGCGGCAGCCCUGGCAGCUGGGAGCUGGGAGGCCCUGGGCGCGGUAAUUGUGGGGC